rnacentral:rRNA from 1 species
GACGGAGGAUGCAAGUGUUAUCCGGAAUCACUGGGCGUAAAGCGUCUGUAGGUGGUUCGAAAAGUCCACUGUUAAAAAUUGAGGCUUAACUUCAAAGAUGCCGUGGAAACUUUCAAACUAGAGUAUGGUAGGGGUAGAGGGAAUUUCCAGUGGAGCGGUGAAAUGCGUAGAUAUUGGAAAGACCACCGAUGGCGAAGGCACUCUACUGGGCCAUUGCUGACACUGAGAGACGAAAGCUAGGGGAGCAAAUGGG